CUACGGGAGGCAGCAGUGGGGAAUUUUGGACAAUGGGCGCAAGCCUGAUCCAGCCAUUCCGCGUGAGUGAAGAAGGCCUUCGGGUUGUAAAGCUCUUUCGCAAGGGAAGAAAACUUAUCCUCUAACAUAGGGUGAGGUUGACGGUACCUUGAUAAGAAGCACCGGCUAACUACGUGCCAGCAGCCGCGGUAAUACGUAGGGUGCGAGCGUUAAUCGGAAUUACUGGGCGUAAAGCGUACGCAGGCUGUUUUGUAAGUCAGAUGUGAAAUCCCCGAGCUCAACUUGGGAACUGCGUUUGAACUACAAGACUAGAAUAUGUCAGAGGGGGGUAGAAUUACAUGUGUAGCAGUGAAAUGCGUAGAGAUGUGGAGGAAUACCAAUGGCGAAGGCAGCCCCCUGGGAUAAUAUUGACGCUCAUGCACGAAAGCGUGGGGAGCAAACAGGAUUAGAUACCCGCGUAGUC
rnacentral:rRNA from 1 species